GUGGUCGCUUCAGCAGCACAUAUACUAAAAUCCGAACAGUAUAGAGAAGAUUAGCAUGUCCUGUCCCACAAGGAUGACAUGCAAAUUCAUGAAAUGUUCCAUAUUUUU